CGCUAAGAAGCUAAACCGGACACAGCAUUAGCCUUUUAAGCUAAAGAUUGGUGGCUCCCAACCACCCUUAGCGA
rnacentral:tRNA from 1 species